rnacentral:SRP_RNA from 1 species
ACCAGGCGUGGUGGCGCGCGUGCCUGUAGUCCCAGCUACUCAGGAGGCUGAGGUGGGAGGAUCGCUUGAGCCUAGGAGCUCUGGGCUGUAGUGCGCUAUGCCGAUCAGGUGUCCACACUAAGUUUGGCAUCAAUAUGGUGACCCCCCGGGAGCUGGGGACCACAAGGUUGCCUAAGGAGGGGUGAACCGGCUCAGGUGGGAAACGGAGCAGGUCAAAAACUCCCGUGCUUAUUAGUAGUGGGAUCGCGCCUGUGAAUAGCCACUGCACUCCAGCCUGGGCAACAUAGCGAGACCCCGUCUCU